rnacentral:rRNA from 1 species
AGAGUUUGAUCCUGGCUCAGGACGAACGCUGGCGGCGCGCCUAACACAUGCAAGUCGAACGGAGCUUACUCAGUUGAUUCUUUCGGGAUGACGCAGGGUAAGCUUAGUGGCGAACGGGUGAGUAACACGUGAGGAACCUGCCCUGGAGUGGGGGACAACAGUCGGAAACGGCUGCUAAUACCGCAUAAGCCCACAGAGCCGCAUGGCUCAGCGGGAAAAGGAUUUAUUCGCUUCAGGAUGGACUCGCGUCUGAUUAGAUAGUUGGUGAGGUAACGGCCCACCAAGUCGACGAUCAGUAGCCGGACUGAGAGGUUGAUCGGCCACAUUGGGACUGAGACACGGCCCAGACUCCUACGGGAGGCAGCAGUGGGGAAUAUUGCACAAUGGGGGAAACCCUGAUGCAGCGACGCCGCGUGGAGGAAGAAGGUCUUCGGAUUGUAAACUCCUGUUCUUAGGGACGAUAAUGACGGUACCUAAGAAGAAAGCCACGGCUAACUACGUGCCAGCAGCCGCGGUAAAACGUAGGUGGCAAGCGUUGUCCGGAAUUACUGGGUGUAAAGGGAGCGCAGGCGGGGUGGCAAGUUGGAAGUGAAAACUAUGGGCUCAACCCAUAGAUUGCUUUCAAAACUGCUAUUCUUGAGUGGUGCAGAGGUAGGCGGAAUUCCCGGUGUAGCGGUGGAAUGCGUAGAUAUCGGGAGGAACACCAGUGGCGAAGGCGGCCUACUGGGCA